AGUAAAGUAGUCUAAUGAAGGACAGAAGACCUAUGAUUUUCAAGUGUUAUUUACUAACCUUUACCU
rnacentral:tRNA from 1 species